rnacentral:rRNA from 1 species
GGAUUAGAUACCCUGGUAGUCCACGCCGUAAACGAUGAAAACUAGGCGUUGGGGAGCCUUGAGCCCUUCAGUGCCGCAGCUAACGCAUUAAGUUUUCCGCCUGGGGAGUACGGCCGCAAGGCUAAAACUCAAAGGAAUUGACGGGGGCCCGCACAAGCGGUGGAGCAUGCGGUUUAAUUCGAUGCAACGCGAAAAACCUUACCUACCCUUGACAUUCUGGGAAUCUUCUAGGAAUAGAAGAGUGCCUUCGGGAACCCAGUAACAGGUGCUGCAUGGCUGUCGUCAGCUCGUGCCG